UCAAGCGACUAAGUGUAUGUGGUGGAUGCCUUGGCGAUCACAGGCGAUGAAGGACGUGACAGCCUGCGAAAAGCUGUGGGGAGCUGGCAAAUAAGCUUUGAUCCACAGAUGUCCGAAUGAGGGAACUCACCUGCUUUGCAGGUAUCCCAUCCUGAAUAUAUAGGGAUGGGAGGCGAACGAAGCGAACUGAAACAUCUAAGUAGCUUCAGGAAAAGAAAUCAACCGAGAUUCCGAAAGUAGCGGCGAGCGAAAUCGGAUCAGCCCAGCACUCGAUAGCAGCCAACUUACGGGAACGGUCUGGAAAGUCCGGCCAUAGAGGGUGAUAGCCCCUUACUGGAAAAGGCAGCUGUGGUACUAAGUGUGCGAUAAGUAGAGCGGGACACGUGACAUCCUGCUCGAAGAUGGGGGGACCAUCCUCCAAGGCUAAAUACUCGUGAUCGACCGAUAGCGUACCAGUACUGUGAAGGAAAGGUUAAAAGAACCCCGGGAGGGGAGUGAAAUAGAUCCUGAAACCGCAUACAUACAAACAGUAGGAGCCUCGUUAAGGGGUGACUGCGUACCUUUUGCAUAAUGGGUCAGCGACUUACGUUUAAUGGCGAGCUUAACCGUAUAGGGGAGGCGCAGCGAAAGCGAGUUCGAACAGAGCGUUCAGUCGUUAGGCGUAGACCCGAAACCAGAUGAUCUAUCCAUGGCCAGGUUGAAGGUGUGGUAACACACACUGGAGGACCGAACCGACUAGUGUUGCAAAAUUAGCGGAUGAGCUGUGGAUAGGGGUGAAAGGCUAAACAAAUCUGGAGAUAGCUGGUUCUCCCCGAAAACUAUUGAGGUAGUGCCUCGUGUAUGACUCCAGGGGGUAGAGCACUGUUAUGGCUAGGGGGACAUGGCGUCUUACCAAACCAUGGCAAACUCCGAAUACUUGGAAGUUUGAGCACGGGAGACAGAGCACCGGGUGCUAACGUCCGGACUCAAGAGGGAAACAACCCAGACCGCCGGCUAAGGUCCCUAAUAUUGACUAAGUGGAAAACGAAGUGGAAAGGCUAAGACAGUCAGGAAGUUGGCUUAGAAGCAGCCAUCCUUCAAAGAAAGCGUAAUAGCUCACUGAUCGAGUCUUUCUGCGCGGAAGAUGUAACGGGGCUAAGUCAAUAACCGAAGCCGCGGAUUCACACUUAUGUGUGAGUGGUAGGGGAGCGUUCUGUAAGCCUGCGAAGGUGACUCGUAAGGGUUGCUGGAGGUAUCAGAAGUGCGAAUGCUGACAUGAGUAACGUUAAAGCGGGUGAAAAGCCCGCUCGCCGUAAGCCCAAGGUUUCCUGCUCUACGUUCAUCGGAGCAGGGUGAGUCGGCCCCUAAGGUGAGGCUGAGAAGCGUAACUGAUGGGAACAAGGUUAAUAUUCCUUGACCACCGCUGAAUGCGAAGGGGGGACGGAGUAUUGAAGAUCAUCCGGGUGUUGGAUAUCCCGGUUUGCGAGCGUAGGAGGCUGACAGGCAAAUCCGUCAGCGAAUCUCCGAGGCGAAGCAUCGAGCUCUCUUUUGAGCGAAGUGAUUGGAUGUGCUUCCAGGAAAAGCCUCUAAGCUCCAGUUCAGCGGGACCGUACCGCAAACCGACACUGGUGGGCGAGCUGAAUAUGCUCAGGCGCUUGAGAGAACUCAGGAGAAGGAACUCGGCAAAUUGACACCGUAACUUCGGGAUAAGGUGUGCCUUUGUAGCGUGGAGGGAGAAACACCCCGAGCGCGAAGAGGUCUCAGAUAAUCGGUGGCUGCGACUGUUUAUUAAAAACACAGCACUCUGCAAAGACGAAAGUCGACGUAUAGGGUGUGAUGCCUGCCCGGUGCUGGAAGAUUAAUUGAUGGGGUGCAAGCUCCUGAUCGAAGUCCCAGUAAACGGCGGCCGUAACUAUAACGGUCCUAAGGUAGCGAAAUUCCUUGUC
rnacentral:rRNA from 1 species